UUGGCUCCACAAUUCGUCGUUCUACAAACAUAAGCCGCAUUAUAUUGAAUUAUAAAUUGACUUUAUAUAAUAUUUACGAACGGAAAAAUAUGUCCAGGGUAACCUAGUGGACAUGGCAUCUGCCCGGUAAGCGGAACACUGUGGGUUCCCAUCCCUGGACACUUUAUUUUUCCGUUUAUCAUGACACUUCACAAUUCAUCCUUUCAUACUUCAUCCUAAAGGGUAGAAAUAAUCGUUAUUUCUCUUAAAAUAAGUUACGAUUUUUCGUUCAAAAGAAAAAUUUUGCGGUAAAAUUGUCAAUGUCGUUCUAUAAUCUAGUUUAAUGCAACAAACAGAGUAUGAAGGAAGAGUACGUUGUAACGGCAGCUGGGACGUCUACAGCAUAUUCUUCUUGUAUUUCGUUAAAUUAUCAUUUAUCAGUGAUUAUAUUAUUAUCACUGAGGGUACUCUGUGAAGUUGCAGUUGGACCCUGUGGUAAUAUGUAACAAAAUAUAAACAUACGUUGAUUGUCUGCCUUAACAAAUAAAUAAAUACAUGUAUAAAGUAAAUAAAGCUUCCAGGGUUAAGUUUCUUGUUCAAUUUUUUUAAUUUUCAAGCUUUCGGACUUGUCAGUCCUUCUACAGGAGUAUCACGAUAAAACUUCCCAAUUACUUCUUGCUGGUUAUCGUCAAAUAAACAUAAGGACAUUACAUACGUGGUAGGCCAAGAAAGUUUUCCAGCUUCUAGAAGAUUCCAUGAUAGUUCUAGAAAUGCUCGACGCAGUCUUUGAUGGCCGGCUAGACCUUCUAACCCCCGUGUUCCCACUGUGUACCGAAGACAAAGAGAAAGACUAUCUGGAAGUCCAUCAGCGGAAUUUAUUUCAGUCGAGGUCCAGGAAUAGACCGCUCGCGGAGAGUGAGUCCCGCCCAGGAGCCUUCGGGGGUCCUGCGAGCUUUUUUUUUCUCUUACUUUACUUUUUUUGUUUCCCCAUGGGCGUUGUCUCCCAAUAGCUUCUACAACCACAAGGUGACCUUGGGCCUUCAUUUAAUGCUUUCUAAAUGUACGUUGCAAUGAUAAUCAUGGUGGAUAGUACAACAAAUAUCUUUUAAGAAAUUGAUCAUUUAUAUUAUGCUUAUUGUACAUAUUGCCAGACACUUCUUUAUUUUAUACACAGUUCUUUUUUCAUUGUAAAUAUCAUAUGACUAUUCUAUUUACGGCCUAAAAUUUUUGUAUAUAUAUAUGUAUAGACAAAUGUCAUACAUGUAUGACAGCGCAAGUGUCCUAGGUGGACAUAGCGGUUUAAAUUGAAAUAAAAUUUUAAAAAAGCAUGGUGGAUAGUUAGUUGUCUUAUACUGUACUGUAAAUGUAUCUACAGUCCUGGCAUCUGCCAAGGCGUGUCUCUAUAAGUAUUAUAUCAACAUUUAUUUUAUUAUAUUAUAUUAUAUAAUUAAUUAAAUGUUUAUAAUUUCAAAAAGAAUCUAACGCCUUUAAAAUAGUUUCGAAUUUUGAUAAUACAAUUACUUUAUAUAUAAUACAAAGAUAUUAUACAUAACAGCGAAUAAUAUUGGGAUUUCAAUUUUUAGCAAGUAUUUAUGAACUUUUAGGACAACCUUGUAAUAAAUAUUACAACAGAAUGAAAUUUUUACAAAAAUAAAUGUUAUUAGCGUGUGCCAGAUCGGGCGUUCACAUCACACUAUAUAUAUUAUAGAUAAAUAUAUAAAAUAGAUUAUAAAAUUGGGUGAUAUAUAUAUAUCAUAUUUAAAAAAUGAGAUUUCUGCUGAUUUUGGUAUGUUGAGGAUUAUGCUAUGGUGAUGCAGUCGUGGUUAAAAUCUUGAAAGUAUAAUAAAAAUAUUGAAGAUUAGAAAUAGCUUCAAUUGAGCUAAAGGAAUAUAUUUAAAAAAACAUAAUUUGAUAAAAGUACUGCCUGUCUUAAGGCGUAAGAAUAAAAAAAAAUGAAAAGCUUAUUUAUAUAAUGUACAAAGGUUUGAGCCGGCCAUCGGGAAACAACAACAAUGAGUUUUUAUAAGGGAAGCGUAACCUCUGGCGGUCGAUUUAGCAGAGUAUUUGAAUCUAUGAUAUAUAUUUUUUUAAAUAAAAUAAUAUUUUUAUAUAACAUAUGCACACUAUUACAUACAAAAUUUGAUAAUAUUGUGAAAAGAAUAUAUGCUAUGAUAUUUAACUCUGCCUUAAUCCCAAUUUUCUAUGGUAUCAUUUUAUUCGCAGAAGAGUUUCCAUCCCAAGCAAUUUUCCAUCUUUAACUUGCAGCCGUCAAUCUAUUGAGACAGGCUGUUUUUAUAAACCUAAUUGUCUAAACACUGGGGUGCGACUUGUACCAUAUCUAUCUAGUCUUUGUCUUUAGGAAGCUUACAAGACGUAACCUCUACUGGCUCAUCCCCAACACUUGCUAAUAAAGGAGCUUGCUAAUUCCAGCCCUCUUACGAAGCCAUUGUGGCAAACUGUUUGUUGUUUUUCCCCAGGGAUGUGUGGAAAUCUCAUCGUUUUUCUUUCUUUGUUUUUCUAAAACUUUGUCUUCUUCACGCCUCUUCAAUUAUUAUUUGCUACUGAGGUUUUUUUUAAUUAUACAUGAUUGCUUUUUUUUUGUCUUCCUGAGAUGUGAUAGACACUUUUUGUCAUUUUGUUUCUCAAAACUCCGUAUUUUUCAUUUUUCAAUAGUCAUUAAAUUUUCUAUAAUUUAUUUUUGACUAAGGACCCUGCUUUUAAAUUCGUCUUAUUAUACUUUUGGAAUAGAGAAAAUAAAAUAUUGUCGCGAUAUCAUUUUAGAGUUUUAUUGAUCAAAUGAUAAACUUUGUGAGUGAUGUUUCCCUCACAACAAAACUAGAAACAAGAAAAUGAAAUAUCAGUUACAAAUUUACAUACCUUCCUUAUAUAACAUUAAACAUAAACAUAUUUACAUAUUUACUAGCAUUUGAUUUACAUAAACCAAUUUCGUGACAAUAUUUCUCCCUUUCUACACAAUUAUUUUUAUUUAGAGUUAUUUUAUAGGUUGUAUUUUUUUUAUGAAGUGAAUAAAUAUGUUUUGAGACAUUUUGGCUUUUCAUUGAAUUAUCUUUUUAUAUUGUUUCUUUAUUAGUAAUUAAUAAAAUUUACGAUUAUAUUUCUUCAAUAUAACGAUAUGCAUUUUGAAUUUCUUUUAACCUGUAUAAAAAUAAUUUGUCUGUUUUUAAGAACCUCAUCUUAAUAGUCUUCCUUAUUAUAACUUUUUUAAAAAUAUUUUCUUGAUAACACUUUAAAAAUAUUUAAUACAACAAUUUAAUGCGGCUUAUGAUUGUAGAACGACAUUUUAAAAUUAUCCUGCAUGUGUUUCCUUUGAACAAAAAAUCACACGCGAAUAGUUUUCAAAUGUCGUUUUACACUUUUAAAAUAUAAUUAAAAUAAAUAAAGUUUCCAGGGCUUAAGUUUCUUGUACAAACCUUUUAUUUUCAAACUUUUGGACUUAUCAGUCCUUCAACAGGAGUAUUACGUUAACAAAUUAAUGAUAAAUACUAUUUAUAUAUAAAUUGUUAUUUACCUAUUUAAAAUACCUAUAAUAUAUUUCUCACAAUGUCAUAAGUAUUUAAAAUAUGUAAAUAAUAAUUUGUAUAUGUGGUGUUCCUUCGAUUAAAUAAUUAAAUAUGCUUUACCAAAUUAAGAAACAAAUUUUAAUUAUAUAUCUUUUAAUGCUAUAUAUACACCUUUAAAUAUAUUCAUAACAACAACAAUAAUUACAGUGCUGCCAAAUCCAAACAAUCAAAAAUAAAUUGAUUAAACAGAGUAUAUUAUAAAAUUAUUAUAAGGUAUAUUACAGUAUAAAAAUAGUAUUUAUCAUUAAUUUGUUAAUACUACUCUUAAAGGACUGACAAGUCCGAAAUCAUGAAAAUAAAGUUGUGCACAAAAACUUAGACCUGGAAGCUUCAUUAAUUUUUAUUAUAUUUUAAAUAAGGAAAGAAAACGUUACCUGGGUCUACACAGCCAAGAUAGUGGACAUGGCGACUGCUGUGAUAGAGAUGUAUGGAGACAUCUGAGGCUCUUCAUUGGACACGACAACAACAACAAACGUAGCGUUCUCACGCAAUUCUGGCCUUAACUACUCGUUUCAUGAUUUUUCAGGAUGCCUGAAUGACCAGUUUUAUGGUCGUUGAGGGUACAGCUUGCACCACGCUGAUGAGGGCCAACAGCCCGAAACGCGUCCGUGGUUAGCUUUUCUUGAUUAAUCAAGAAUGGGUAUUUGGCCAAUUCUGGAAUUAUUAAAAAUCAACAAUAAUAGUUGAUAUUUAUUCCGAUAGAUGGCGCAAGUCAUCAGACUACUUUCAGUUGCACGAUAAGGAGAUGCCUUUUUCUUAAUAAAGAGUUUUGUUUGUGUGUGUAGGAACCAAGGAGAUAGGGAAAGAGAUAAAAAUGGAGAUUUCCUGAAGGGAUGCCAUUCCAGACAUGCUUUUACAAUACAGAUCAACUUGUAAAUGCAUAUUCUGGAAUGAUAACCUUAUCAGACAUUCUUCGGGGACUUUUUUCUGAAACACAAGUUCUAGGUGAGUAAUCUUAUUUGUGUUGUGUGCAAUGUAUGCUUUGUUAGAAUACCACUUUUGUAUUUAGGUUAAAUAUUUUGUUGGUAUUAUAUAUAAAUUCAAUUCCCUUUUAUCAAUAAAAUUUGUAAUAACUAAAUUUACUGGAAAUGUGUUUAUUUUUCAAAAGUUACAUCAACUAUUAUCUCUACAGACUUGACUGCAAUGAUAAAAGUUAUUGAAUGAGAAGGCUUGGCUCAUCAGGUUGUAAAAACCCUGAGAAGAUUCACCACUGAUAAGCCAAGCUCUCUCAUUCAAUAACUUAUAUCAUUGCAGUAAGGUCUGUAUAGAUAAUAUUUAAUAUAAUUAUUGAAAAUAAAUACAUUUCCAGUAAUUGUUAUAAAAAUUUCAUUGUUAUUAUUUAUAUAUCAAUUUUUGAAACCUUUUUCUUAAAAUUAUGUAAGCUAGAACGGUCAAGUCUUCUCUCUCAUUCGCUUUUGAAGAUCAAAUGAUUCGGACGAUAUAAGAGAAAAAUGUCCAAAUUUAAAGGGAAAAUGCAUUCGCUAUAUAUACAAAUAAAGAAGCAUAUAUCUAUAUCAAAGAGGAAGAAAGAUAUAAAAUAGUAUACAACAACAUACAUCUUUAUAAGAACACCGGUCUUAUACAGAUUCACCACACACAACAAAAGCCUUUAUUAAGACACACAGGUCUUACAUGAGGAUUCUCCUUGGGCUUACAAGACGGAGAAACCUAUGAAAGUGGGGAAAUAAAAAAUGGAGAGAAAGAUUAUAUACAUAUGGUAAAUAUAUACAGAUUAUAAGAAAGAAUAAAAAAUAAGAAAAAAAAUUGGAAAUAUGGAUGGGAGAAGUGGAGAGCGAAAAGAGGAAAUAAAACAGGUAUUUUACAUAUGGAACCAGUCAAUUUAAGCUCUUCUGCUCACACAGCACAGGUGGGCCAUGGCUUUUUCAAGAAAUCUUUAAGAGCUUAUACAGAUUCAUUAUAGGAAAGAAGCAUAGAUAGAGGUCCUAUACUUCAGGUAGCACAGAACCCAACAGCCUCCAGGUCUGACGCAUAUCCAGUGGAGAAAUAGGAUAAACAUGAUUAUGUAUUAUAUUGUUUUUUUGUUUUAGGUCAUUGUGUCUCUCUAUCACAGAUAGUUUGAUUUGGUAUUCGCUCGACAUCAUAUUGAAAACUAGAUGAUCAUCAAUGGUUAACUUUCAUCUGUUUUAUCUACUAAUUGUAACAGCUAUUUUUUUAUAUAUAUAUUGUAACCAAGUAUUUAUUAAUUUUAUUAUUUUUUAUUGACAGAGUGGUCAUUUUCAUGCUUAUAUUUUGUUACUCUGUAAAUUUCCCUCCUGGCUUAUCUUUUGUUUACUUUUCAUAGUUUGUCCUUUCCUGAAAUAAAUUUUGUUUCCUCCUGAAGUUUUUGUCUUCCUUAAUUUUCCACGUGGCAAUAUAUAUAUAUAGUAAGUCAUCAAUAGAACACUGUUAUUUUUGGUGUCUAGGAUAACUAAGGAGAUGUAAAUUUAUGAAUGUAAACACUAUUUUAGCUUCGAGAGCUUUCUUGCCAUAGAUACACUAUCUAUAUAUUGUCUAAUAUGUGAAAUAACUAACAGCCCGAAACGCAUUCAUGGAUGGCUUUUCUUGAUUUAUCGAGAAAUUGGGUUAGCCAAAUAUCAGGGAACAGGUUAAAUCAAUGUUUAGUUGAUUUCUAUUCCACCAGAUGGUGCUCUGCCAUCUAAAACAUGUGCUCCUGGUCAGGAUAUGCCUUCUUUAUUUUAUUAUCUAAUAUAAAAAAUAGGAUAUCAAGACUGAAUAAGGUGAAUGCUAUGUUAUUGUAUUAAAUCUACAAAUGAUUAUUGAUUAGGUAUAACUACUUAGCAUAAAGAUGUAAUUUUAUUCCGGGAGGGAAAUCGCUUUUUGAAAGCAUAAGGCGCCUCUCACGUCAAUUAAACGUCAAAACUAGACGACACCUAUAGACCGUCUAGUUUUGGCGUCUAUAUGGUGUGUAGUUUUGACCUUUAAUUUAACGGGAGAGGCGCCUUAUGUUUUUAUAAAUACUUAGCAUACAUUUUAUACCCCACACACAGCUUUAUUAAGACCACCGGUCUUAUACAGAUUCAUCACAGGAAGGGAGCAUAGAUGGAGCUCCUAUACUCCAGGUAGCGCAGAGCCCAACAGCCUCCAGAUCCGAUGCAUGUCCAGUGGCCACAGAAUCCACAGUGCAUAGGUAUCACAUUUUAGCGUAUUACUGAAAAGGCGAGUGUGGAAUCAGCCGCAUUUCAGUCUUUGCUUUCCACAUCCAAAUGGACCACGAUAUUCGGCGAUUCUAUUAAUCUCCUACGAACGGUGACUGCGGUUUUGUAGAAUUUAUAUAAACCAAAGGUUAUACAUUUUAUAAGUCUUUAAUUUUUUACCGAGGGAAAGUAGGUAAAGCCGAGCGUGUCGAGAUACAAAAUCCUCCUAACAUAGGCCGUUAGGUGGUAGUUUUUCCAAUCAAAUUCCCUAUGGUAAUGAGCUAAGAUGACGUACAGCAUACAGACUUCGGUCUAGGUAGUCCACUAUCCAUCGGUGCAGGUUUUACCAGAAAAAAUUAUAUAUUUCAACUCUAAAUUCUAUUUUACUCAUCAAACAGAAUGCUUAGACAUUAGUCUAUUAUGCAAAUGAACAGUUGGACUAUAUUAACAUAUAUUCUUAUUCCAUAAUGAGAUAUAUGAUUCUU
rnacentral:piRNA from 1 species